GCCCCGUACCUGCCCCGGCCCGGCGGCGGAAGCGGCGGCGGCGGAAGCGGCGGCGGAAGCGGCGGGAGCGGGCGGAGCGAGCGGAGCCAUGUCGGGCCGGGAGGGCGGCAAGAAGAAGCCGCUGAAGCAGCCGAAGAAGCAGACGAAGGACCUGGACGAGACGGAUCUGGCAUUCAAACAAAAACAGAAGGAGGAGCAAAAGAAACUUGAGGAGAUGAAAGCAAAGGCUGCUGGAAAAGGGCCCCUGGCCAGUGGUGGAAUAAAGAAGUCUGGCAAAAAGUAGCUCGAUCAAACUGCAAGUGAUCAAGUUACUCCAUGGACCUGCAGACUUCAGAGAGUCUUGAAAACACUCUGUCAUUUGGGAAACAUUGUACAUUUUGUUUAGUCAGAAUAAAUCCUUUUUGUUAAGAUGUGA